rnacentral:rRNA from 1 species
CCUACGGGCGGCAGCAGUCGAGAAUCAUUCACAAUGGGGGAAACCCUGAUGGUGCGACGCCGCGUGGGGGAAUGAAGGUCUUCGGAUUGUAAACCCCUGUCAUGUGGGAGCAAAUUAAAAAGAUAGUACCACAAGAGGAAGAGACGGCUAACUCUGUGCCAGCAGCCGCGGUAAUACAGAGGUCUCAAGCGUUGUUCGGAAUCACUGGGCGUAAAGCGUGCGUAGGCUGUUUCGUAAGUCGUGUGUGAAAGGCGCGGGCUCAACCCGCGGACGGCACAUGAUACUGCGAGACUAGAGUAAUGGAGGGGGAAGCGGAAGUCUCGGUGGAGCAGUGAAAUGCGUAGAUAUCGAGAGGAACACUCGUGGCGAAGGCGGGUUACUGGACAUUAACUGACGCUGAGGCACGAAGGCCAGGGGAGCGAAAGGGAUUAGAUACCCGAGUAGUC